rnacentral:rRNA from 1 species
UACAGGGGGGGCAAGCGUUGUUCGGAAUUACUGGGCGUAAAGGGCUUGUAGGUGGCCAACUAAGUCCGACGUGAAAUCCCUAGGCUUAACCUAGGAACUGCGUCGGAUACUGGAUGGCUUGAAUCCGGGAGAGGGAUGCGGAAUUCCAGGUGUAGCGGUGAAAUGCGUAGAUAUCUGGAGGAACACCGGUGGCGAAGGCGGCAUCCUGGACCGACACUGACGCUGAGGAGCGAAAGCCAGGGGAGCAAACGGG